GUCUACGGCCAUACCACCCUGAACACGCCCGAUUUCGUCUGAUCUCGGAAGCUUAGCAGGGUCGGGCCUGGUUAGUACUUGGAUGGGAGACCAUUAUUCUCACCCAGCCUCCCAACC
rnacentral:rRNA from 1 species